GACGAACGCUGGCGGCGUGCUUAACACAUGCAAGUCGAACGGAAAGGCCCGGCUUUUGUGGGUUGCUCGAGUGGCGAACGGGUGAGUAACACGUGAGUAACCUGCCCUUGACUUUGGGAUAACUUCAGGAAACUGGGGCUAUUACCGGAUAGGAGCUCUUGCUGCAUGGUGGGGGUUGGAAAGUUUCGGCGGUUGGGGAUGGACUCGCGGCUUAUCAGCUUGUUGGUGGGGUAGUGGCUUACCAAGGCUUUGACGGGUAGCCGGCCUGAGAGGGUGACCGGCCACAUUGGGACUGAGAUACGGCCCAGACUCCUACGGGAGGCAGCAGUGGGGAAUAUUGCACAAUGGGCGGAAGCCUGAUGCAGCAACGCCGCGUGCGGGAUGACGGCCUUCGGGUUGUAAACCGCUUUCGCCUGUGACGAAGCGUGAGUGACGGUAAUGGGUAAAGAAGCACCGGCUAACUACGUG
rnacentral:rRNA from 1 species